rnacentral:tRNA from 1 species
GAGGGUAUAGCUCAGUAGUAGAGUAUAUUCUUGGCAUGCAUGAGGUCCUGGGUUCAAUCUCCACUACCUCCA